rnacentral:rRNA from 1 species
AUUGAACGCUGGCGGCAUGCCUUACACAUGCAAGUCGAACGGCAGCACGGGGGCAACCCUGGUGGCGAGUGGCGAACGGGUGAGUAAUACAUCGGAACGUGCCCAGUAGUGGGGGAUAGCCCGGCGAAAGCCGGAUUAAUACCGCAUACGACCUACGGGUGAAAGCGGGGGAUCGCAAGACCUCGCGCUAUUGGAGCGGCCGAUGUCAGAUUAGGUUGUUGGUGGGGUAAAAGCCUACCAAGCCGACGAUCUGUAGCUGGUCUGAGAGGACGACCAGCCACACUGGGACUGAGACACGGCCCAGACUCCUACGGGAGGCAGCAGUGGGGAAUUUUGGACAAUGGGCGCAAGCCUGAUCCAGCCAUGCCGCGUGCGGGAAGAAGGCCU